UUAAAGCAAUCAUGAAAAUGAGCUCAGAGUCCCAUGCCAGGGCCUUGAAAGGAAUUAGGCUAAAAACAGGACAAAGGAAGAGGUGAGGCCAGACAGAAAAUGCCAUGAAAGGCUCUGCCCAGCACUGCCAGGACCCAGAUCCCUCCUCACUGGUUUCAUUCAUCUGUAGCCAGGCACUGUGCUGGGCACCAGGGAGGCUAAGCUAAAUGAAUCAUUGUGCCUGCCCUCGAGGAGCAAUCAGUUCAGCGGGAGAAGCUACACAGACAAUCAGAGUACCGAAUGGAAAGUUGAGUCUGAAAGUUGGAAGAGCAAUUACAGACAAAACAGCAAGGCUUCUGAAGAAGAGCUGAAUGCAUGAAUACACGGACACAAGAUACACCAAAUGGAGAAGCUACAGAACAAUCCCAGCACAUUCAAAUUCUCGUACAAAUGCUGAGUGCCAGUCACACACUUGGCAUGCUCCAGAUACUUCCACAUCCGUGCUUUUACUUAAGCCACAAAAC